UUCUGGAUACAAACUCUACAGGAAUAAUAGGGAGGAGCAUCAUGGAGAUACGUGAAGGAGGACAUGGAAUCCAACAACUUAGAAAUGUCAAGAUGGACAGACUUCUCCACAGGAGUGCUAUGGGUGGUGAUACCAGGCCCCAAGAAUAAUUUAGUACUGGGCAUAUACUAACACAGACACAGACAGAAAGAAACACACACACAUACAGUGCCCAAGGAGAAUGAAAAAAGAUGAGGCAUCCAAAGGAGGAAAUGUUGUCAUCACCCUCAGAUAUACCAGAUACUGAAGAUUGAGGAUGAAUGCAAAGCAUAUUCUGUACAGCUGAGCUAUGGGCCCUCCUAAUUGUGGCCUCCAUCAUCCAAGGCUGAAGGCAGCAGAAGGUGCAACAGAAGAUCAGCGGUCAUGAAGAAAGCACAGCAAAAUCCCAGGGUCAUCAGAAAAAGGGGGGAGCAGGGAACCUAUCAGAAUUAAAGAUGGCCAGCCUACAGUAGGGUGGAAUUUUACUUUCGAACAUGCGCUCUCCUUAAUCAGGACAUCUCACUUAUUGGACAACGGAAACAGAAAAAGAACGGCUUUUUAUUAAGCUAACUUUUGAUUUCUCAGCUGAAGAACAAAAGGGUUUCUAGAAGCUAUCUUAGGCCUCAUCUUAUCUUACAGUUCCAUUAUUCACCCUCUCUGCUGCCUCUCUUGUCAGCACAUAAUCUCUUUUCUUGAUCCUUGGUUUCUCCAUCCAUAAUGUGCAACAUAUAUCUAUUAUCUAUAUGCACAGCUGCAUUGCAUUCAGUUACCUUGCACUCGCUGGUAAACCUGCACAGAACAGCAGCAAUAUGCAUAAAAAAUUAUCUCACCCAUUUGGUACUAAUACAUAACGUUAGGAAGAUGUUUAAUGUGGACAAACUGUAUAUUACCUUUAAGGAGCAAAGGCAUGAAGGGGAUUUUCGGUGACUUCAUUUUCUUGAAUGCAUCUCUGUAGGCUUUGUGAUUCAGGGAAGGGUCCUACCGAAACAAUUUGAUUGCGAUGAAAGGAAAGAAGAAAAUCAAUACCCUUUCUAAAGGAUGGCAAUUUGUAAUCUGUUACACACCCACAAGCUCAAUAUGCUUUAAAUAUAAAAGGUUUCCUUGGAAAACGAGGCAGAUAAAUGUUUCUCAAAGAAAGAGGACUGACUGAGUGAAAUAAGAGGCCAUUCACUCCAGGGGCGAAUAGAGAGUUUGGAACUACAUAUGUCUGCAGUAAGCUAAAAAGCUAAGGAUCCCAGCUUUAGAUGAUGAGGUUUACAUCAACCAAGGGCUGAUGAAACUCUAGAUCUAGUUGAACUGCCACACCUAUUAUCUCUGACUAUUGGGCAUCCCAGCUGUCGCUGAUGGGAACUGGAGUCCAACAAUAUCUGGAGGGCCACAGGUUCCUAAUCACUGCAUUAAGCUCUGGAAGAGAACAUCUGGAGAAAUCAAAGUCUUUUCUGUAGAAAGUAUACUUACUGUCAAACUUUCAAGUUCAGCAAACAGCUUCUUAAACUUUCCAGGGAUUCUCUGAAACACACACAAAAAAUCAAAGGAAAUGAGAUUCGAUGGGGGGGGGGGAAUCCAAGUAUGCUGAAAAGUAUUUAAUAUUUCUUUCAGUGACUAGCCAUCAUAAAAAACUCAUAAAAAAUCAAGUUGCUCAUCAUGAAUAAUGUUUAAGAGUGAUGCAAAUCCUUUUGCAUUUUGAGACUGCCCCUCUCAUAAUUCUUUUAUAAUUGCUUCCUAAAAUCUGUCUUCAUUUUAUUCACUAACAUCUUUGUCUGCCUCAUUUGUCUUAAGGCCUUUCUGAUUAUUUCAUUUAAAAAAGUAAAACGUAUCAACAGUAUAUUAGUGCUAGCUUGAACUGAUACUAAAAUAUCCUUGUAGUGAGCUACAUUUCAGGGGGAAGGCUAGUUUUUCUGAUUUUAUUAUUUUAAACAGGGAAGAAUUGUGUCCUCUGCAUCUAUCUCCCAGUGUCACCCCAAGAUUUAAAGGAACCACUUGGAACUGGGCCCUCAGUACCUGAUUGUGCACCAUGCUGACCUGAUGGUUCUUCCAUCACCCUCAAACUCAGGGAAUGACUCCGUUGCAGCUUCUCCUACUUCACAACAACGCAGGCGCAUGUGACAGAAGAAUCUGUUACAAUCCCUUUGAGGAUUAGAGACAGCUCUCCAAGGGAGGGCAAAGCCACUUCGAAGGGUUCUGCCAUUCCCCUCUUAAGCCUUCAAACAACUCUGGUCUUUGUGGGAAAUUGCCAUCAAACAUAACUAGCAAACUUAGGCCUAGUUAAUGCACGAAGGGGUUAAGACCACAGAAAUGUAUUCCUAGACUCAGCUAGGUCACAGCCUUCACCUGAAAGGAAGUUAAGUUUCCUACUUUGUUCAUUCUCUUUCAUCAUGUGAACUCGCUGAGA